AGGUCCUCCCAUACACACACCCUCACUCCCAUCCAUACACUCACCCUCUCUCACACACCCAGCCUCCCACCUUUAAUGUGUGUGGAUGGGACUAAGGUUUUCUUAUUUCUUUCAGACUGUGCGCCUCCGAGGUGAACGUCUGACUGAAGUGAACGUGUGGCUGGUCCAGAACUCCUCCAAACAGGUUUGUUUGUGUGGCUGACUGUGGACCUACAAGGUUCUUCUUAGAGGUAAUAAAGAUACAUCAGUGAUGGUGAGGCCGUCACAUUAUCAGCGGUUGUGGAUUUCUCAAUUCAACCUUUAUAUUGCAGACUCCACAUAAGGUAAAACACUUCCAUUCAGCAAUUGGUGUGCAGUGUCCAGAUUGUCAACAUUUAGUUCAGUAUGAUGUUACUUCUGGCCAGCUUAACCUGAGGAGAAAGUCAGUACAGUACACGAUUAGAUUUUGAAAAGGAAACUGCAAAGUACGCAAGCUAUUGAUUUUUAAUAAUUUAAACAAGUGAAAUUUUUUCUAGCUUAACUUUCUGAAUUCAUGAACAGUUAACUUGUGGCAAAUUUUAAGUAACAUUCUUUAAUAUAUUUGUUAUCCAAUAUAUAAACUAUAUAAUAGGUAACUUAAUAUUAAUUUGGGUUAGUCUAGAUUAGUUACAUUUAAUCUAUGUUAGGCUGAUUAGGUUAGUUAAUUUGUUAGUUAAAACCCACCUACUAACAACCAGCUUUACUUACUAUUAAUCACUUUACUACUACUAAUGCUCACUAAUACUGUAACUAAUUGGCAUUUAGUCCUGUACAUUUUUAUAGCACUUUAUUAAGCUUUCCCAAAUCUCUACAGCUAAUCUUAAUUUGACUCCCAGCUCAGUUUAUCUAGACAGUCCACACAGCUCUCCAGAGCCCAUUGUAAAAUUGCAGUUUCAUCGAAUAUGCCCUCGUAGUUUAGAAAUUCGUUUAUCCUGUGUAUUUUGGGUCGAUUCAAUGAAAUGUGGCCUUUAUUUCCAGGGGAAGCACCCUCUUUAGAAUUAUAUCCCCCCCCCCUCCCAAAAAAAAACCAUGGAAAUCUUUAAAACUCCUUUCUGACAUUCUUUGCUCCCUGGUUAAAAUGGUGUUGGAAAUACUCCAAUAAGGAGAUCUAAAGGUUGGGGAUGGUUAAAAGUCAGGCGUGUACUGGCCGAAACUGCAAUAAUACCGAGCCCUCCAACACAAACACACACACACACACACCA
rnacentral:lncRNA from 1 species